rnacentral:rRNA from 1 species
UCAUAUCAAUAAGCGGAGGAAAAGAAACCAACAGGGAUUCCCUUAGUAGCGGCGAGUGAAGCGGGAAAAGCUCAAAUUUGAAAUCUAGUACUUUCAGUGCUCGAAUUGUAAUUUGAAGAUGGCAACUUUGGAAUUGGAACUGGCAUAUGUUUCUUGGAACAGAACGUCAUAGAGGGUGAGAACCCCGUUCAUGGCUGGAUUACCAAUUCUAUGUAAAGUGCUUUCGAAGAGUCGAGUUGUUUGGGAAUGCAGCUCUAAGUGGGUGGUAAACUCCAUCUAAAGCUAAAUACUAGCGAGAGACCGAUAGCGAACAAGUACAGUGAUGGAAAGAUGAAAAGAACUUUGAAAAGAGAGUGAAAAAGUACGUGAAAUUGCUAAGAGGGAAGGGCUUGAGGUCAGACUUGGUUUCAGAGUUUAAUAGUCUCUCGUGGAUUAUGUUUCUCUGUUUUCCAGGCCAGCAUCGGUUUGGACGGUGAGAAAAGAUACCCUGGAAUGUGGCUUCUCUCGAGAAGUGUUAUAGCCUAGGUUGAUAUCACCAGUCUAGACCGAGGACCGCGCAUUUGCUAGGAUGCUGGCGUAAUGGCCUUAAGCCAC